UACAGAGACUGCAAGCGUUAUUCGGAUUCACUGGGCGUAAAGGGUGCGCAGGCGGCCGAGUGUGUGAGGCGUGAAAGCCCGGGGCUUAACCCCGGAAUUGCACCUCAAACUACACGGCUAGAGCAUUGGAGAGGGUAGCAGAAUUCAUGGUGUAGCAGUGAAAUGCGUAGAUAUUGGGAGGAACACCAGUGGCGCAAGCGGCUAUCUGGACUGACAUUGACGCUGAGGCACGAAAGCGUGGGGAUCAAACAGG
rnacentral:rRNA from 1 species